GCCAGGGUGGCAUAGUGGUUUGACAGCUAGACUAAAACUCUGGAGACCUGGGUUCAAAUCCCUGCUUGACC